UACCAAGAUCAACCUUGCACAGAGGUGAAAGUCUCAAAAUGGAGCCCCCCAGACAUGAAUACAACUGACUCCAUGAUGGAAGUGCCAUUCAGGUUGCAAAGCUCAGCACACAGACAGCACCACCUGCCAAAGCCCUGAUCCAUCAAAUCCCACAGUUUUGGGAAAGCCUCUAAAUGUAGUCACCUUGCUUUUGGGCUUCUAGGCAUCUGCCUGCAAGAAAGGAUGUCAGAACUGCACACCUAUUUCUGGAAAUAGCAUCUGUGUACUCUCCAGAGGACUCACACCCUGUGUCGCAACCUGUGUCCUAUGCAUUGCUCUCCAGUUCUAGGGACAGCAACUGAACACGGUCUGUCAAGUGGGUCAAAGCCAUGAAGUUAGAAUACUUACAUUUCUAUAUGAGAGCACGUACAUCGAUGAUGAUGAUGAUGAUGAUGAUGACGAUAAUCUGUUUUUACAAUGUGAUCUGACAAGCAAAGUUUAAUGUAAACAUGUGGUAGAGGACUUAAAGAUUUAUUGUGUUAAAAAUACGUUGGAGUUGAUCUGGAAGCUUCCCGGUGACACUGCCCUCUGCUGUUCAUCAAUGACACAAGGCUAAGUGAGCCCAGCUAAGGACUGUCAUCCACUGCCUCUUGCAGUGCUAACUCAAUCCUUCUCCAUGAGUGAGCGCUACAGUCAGAUGUUAAUAACCUGACCCUUCGACUUCUGCACGGAUAUCACCAAGACCUCAGAGGCCAUGCAAAAGUAAA